rnacentral:rRNA from 1 species
GGCACGCCUAAACAUGCAAGUCGAACGAAGUAGCAAUACUUAGUGGCAGACGGGUGAGUAACAUGUGGGUAUCUGCCCUUUGGCCUGGAAUAACACGAGGAAACUUGUGCUAAUACCGGAUAAGUCUUUACGGAGAAAGCUUUAUGCACCAUUGGAUGAGCCCGCACUUGAUUAGUUUGUUGGUGGGGUAAUGGCCUACCAAGACUGUGAUCAAUAGCUGAUUUGAGAGGAUGAUCAGCCACAUUGGGACUGAGACACGGCCCAAACUCCUACGGGAGGCAGCAGUGGGGAAUCUUGCACAAUGGAGGAAACUCUGAUGCAGCGAUGCCGCGUGAGUGAAGAAGGCCCUUGGGUUGUAAAGCUCUUUCGUCGGGGAAGAAAAUGACUGUACCCGAAUAAGAAGGUCCGG